rnacentral:rRNA from 1 species
AUACGUAGGGUGCGAGCGUUGUCCGGAAUUACUGGGCGUAAAGAGCUCGUAGGUGGUUUGUCGCGUCGUCUGUGAAAUUCCGGGGCUUAACUCCGGGCGUGUAGGCGAUACGGGCAUAACUUGAGUACUGUAGGGGAGCCUGGAAUUCCUGGUGUAGCGGUGAAAUGCGCAGAUAUCAGGAGGAACACCGGUGGCGAAGGCGGGUCUCUGGGCAGUAACUGACGCUGAGGAGCGAAAGCAUGGGUAGCGAACAGGAUUAGAUACCCUGGUAGUCCAUGCCGUAAACGGUGGGCGCUAGGUGUAGGGGUCUUCCACGACUUCUGUGCCGUAGCUAACGCAUUAAGCGCCCCGCCUGGGGAGUACGGCCGCAAGGCUAAAACUCAAAUGAAUUGACGGGG